CCAAGGUGUUCCUGGACCAAAGGGGGAAGCAGGACUAGAUGGAGCAAAAGGAGAGAAAGGCUUCCAGGGAGAAAAAGGAGACCGUGGUCCCCUGGGACUACCCGGUACUCCAGGACCAAUUGGAGUUCCAGGCCCAGCGGGACCAAAGGGCGAGAGGGGCAGCAAAGGAGACCCUGGGAUGACAGGACCAACGGGAGCAGCUGGGCUUCCUGGUUUACAUGGACCACCCGGGGACAAGGGAAACCGGGUGAGGCGAAGAUGGCUUACCAGUCCAAGGCUGCUGGAACAAGGGCCAGAGUCCUUGGUUAGUCGCCAAGAAGUGAAGCCAGCAAGCCCAGAGCCCUGGGGAAAGCGCCUUGCCUUGGAGGAGGAAAGAGGUGGAGAAGCUGCCCCUGGACAGAGGGUCGCCAGCCGAAUCCUUCCAGGGGGUACCUGGUUUGAGGGGAUGAUCAAAGUGUAUUGUGACCUCAGGAGUGCAAGGAUGGGCCUCUGUCCUCUCCAAGGGCUAGAGCUCAGCCAGGAAAGCCAAGGCCCCCACAUCCGCACACCUCCAGCUCUCGUGGCCUGCUGAGGUGUCUGCUGCAGCCCCAGCCAGGACCCUCUGCUGUUGCUGCAAUUUUGAGGGCUCUCGGACUCCUCUUGCUCAUGAAGAAUUGUGGUUCUGUGAGCAACCUCUCUGCAGAAGGGGCUGUCAGUACCAUCCUGAUCUGACUGGGAAAGCCUCCUCCCGAGGCAGGCCAGGCAGCUGUCACCUCUCCCACCUCUUCUCAACAGAGUUCCUUCAAUUUCCUUUGGUGCUGCCACCAUCAACCCUGUUACUUCCUGGGCUCUUUCCAGUGUCAUAAGCAGACGAAUGUACCAAGCUGGAAAAGCAAGGAGCGUUUGUCUUAGAAAGGACGGAACCGCAACAUAAUGGAGGAGAGAAGCCCAGGAGUAAUACUGGGUGGCCAUGCCGGGUGCCUGGGCUGGUCCUCAGAACCAGGAGCCUCACACAUCUAGUCCGGUGCCCAGAGGUGCCCCAGCCAGUACUAAACUGACACAGACGGAGGCAGCAGUCUAUGUAGUUUCAGGAGGGUCUGAAGUAAGCCCUCUUAGCAAAAUUGUUGAAGGGACAGUGGCUGGAAAUUAACCACCUUACAUCUCCCUUUGUCAUGACACUCAAACCACCUUGCUGCUUGCUUCUUCAGUGAAUAGAAUGACCAUAUUUUCUUGUUCUAUCCAGGACACUUUGCAAUUAAGAAGGGCCCUGGUAGUCAGUAGGCUGUGACAGCAGAUGUCAACCUGGCAAACCAGCAGGUGGUCACAGUGACAAUGACCCAAUACCCACGUCAUCCUCCAGCCCUUCCAAGCCAAGCUCUGGCAACAGCUCAACCCCUCCUGGUGCCUUGUAGCUGCAGCCAUUCACCAAUGGCCUCAGGUGUCCACAGGGCCAGGUGGACAUUGUGUGGAGAACAAAGUGAACACGCCCCUGUUCUCACCUCCAUGCACCUGGGCGAGUGGGAUAUGAUCAGAACACAAAUGACAACUCUCACCGAAGGCAGGACAGACAGGCCAGCGGAAGGCAGAAAUGAAGGGCAGGGGACAUUCAAAGGAUAGAAAGAUCUUGAAUAAACAAACAUUUGGAGGGAAUUUUUCCCCGACACUAUUUUAAGAUGGAGAGGCUGGGUCGCCAGGGUUACCAGGCCAUUCUGGUGAUUUGACUUUAAAUGCUGGGAUUCUGACUUUAAAUUCAUAACAACAUCUUUCCUCGGCCCUGGUGGGUUAAAGAAAAUGCUUUAGAGCAAAUUUAGUGUUUUCUCCCAUUCACAGUAUCUGGCCCACAAGGCUUGUGGGUUAAAGCACACUCCUGAUCUUCAUUUGAUAACCUCAUCUCUCUCCUCUCUUUUGGUGCUUAUUGUAAAGUAGGAACAGCAGCCUCAUUACAUGGGGAGGAGCAGUAUGUCCAGGGCUGCAAACAAAUUGCGCAGGUCCAUUGCGGCCCCGUUGGGGUCAAGGGCACAUGUGCAUGACUGGAUGCAGCAAAAGUCACAGCUAAUGCACCCCGAUGGUGAUCCAGAUGUGAUGUGAGGCUCAGUGGGUACUUAGAGAUUUUUCACAGCCAAGUUAACCAGUCACCCAACCCUCCUGCCCUUCCCAGGGCAUGGCAGAAAUAAAAGGCAUCCCUAUUUAAAAUGACACACGUGUGAGUGGGUUUGAGGAUUCCAGAUGACUCACAGGAUCCUGUACAUUUGUAUAUAGUCAAAUGGUCUUCAUCUCCUGCCAGCAAACCACCCCGCUCUAAACCUACAACAGUCGAGGAAGACAAACCCAUCACGACCACCUUCUAAGAAGACACAGCCAAGUCCCAGGGCUCACUGUAAGAUCACAAAUGCAGUGAAACUGCUUGCUAAGAGACAUUUUUCUUGCACUCCACUCAUUCCAAAGACAAAGCAAUUUAUUGCAAAG
rnacentral:lncRNA from 1 species